UUAAUUGAUUUUGUCAAACACUUUAGUUAAACAACUCUUCACAUUUAUUCUUAGAAACAAACUCAAAUGCUGAAACAUCUUGUCCCACAUGUUGCCUAAUAUACAUCUUGUACAUAUGUUGUUUUUCCUAAUGCAUCCAACCAAAAAGACCUAAACUCUUCUCCAUCGUUGUUCCAUACGUAAUUCCAAAUCUCUUAUGUACUAAAAUUUAU
rnacentral:lncRNA from 1 species